rnacentral:misc_RNA from 1 species
GAUGAAGAACGUAGCGAAAUGCGAUAAGUAAUGUGAAUUGCAGAAUUCAGUGAAUCAUCGAAUCUUUGAACGCACUUUGCGCCCGCCAGUAUUCUGGCGGGCAUGCCUGUUCGAGCGUCAUUUCAACCAUCAAGCCCCCGGCUUGUGUUGGGGACCUGCGGCUGCCGCAGGCCCUGAAAAGCAGUGGCGGGCUCGCUGUCACACCGAGCGUAGUAGCAUACAUCUCGCUCUGGGCGUGCUGCGGGUUCCGGCCGUUAAACCACCUUCAUAACCCAAGGUUGACCUCGGAUCAGGUAGGAAGACCCGCUGAACUUAAGCAUAUCAAUAAGCGGAGGA